rnacentral:ncRNA from 2 species
UACGGAGGGUCCAAGCGUUAUCCGGAUUCACUGGGUUUAAAGGGUGCGUAGGCGGUCAGGUAAGUCAGUGGUGAAAGCCUCCAGCUUAACUGGAGAAUGGCCAUUGAAACUACCUGACUUGAGUACAGUCGGAGCGGGCGGAAUGUAGCAUGUAGCGGUGAAAUGCAUAGAUAUGCUACAGAACGCCGAUCGCGAAAGCAGCUCGCUAGUCUGUUACUGACGCUGAGGCACGAAAGUGUGGGGAGCGAACAGG